GACGAACGCUGGCGGCGUGCUUAACACAUGCAAGUCGAACGGAAAGGCCCUGCUUUUGUGGGGUGCUCGAGUGGCGAACGGGUGAGUAACACGUGAGUAACCUGCCCUUGACUUUGGGAUAACUUCAGGAAACUGGGGCUAAUACCGGAUAGGAGCUCCUGCUGCAUGGUGGGGGUUGGAAAGUUUCGGCGGUUGGGGAUGGACUCGCGGCUUAUCAGCUUGUUGGUGGGGUAGUGGCUUACCAAGGCUUUGACGGGUAGCCGGCCUGAGAGGGUGACCGGCCACAUUGGGACUGAGAUACGGCCCAGACUCCUACGGGAGGCAGGAGUGGGGAAUAUUGCACAAUGGGCGGGAGCAUGAUGCAGCAACGCCGCGUGCGGGAUGACGGCCUUCGGGAUGUAAACCGCUUUCGCCUGUGACGAAGCGUGAGUGACGGUAAUGGGUAAAGAAGCACCGGCUAACUACGU
rnacentral:rRNA from 1 species